ACCCGCUGUCCGAUAUGCCGUGAAAGUUUCGCCCACAAACUUGUGAGACGAAAAAAAAGAUGAAAGAAUUUGUGUUGUGCAUCUGGCUUAAGUGAGGCAGGGACAUUAUAAUUUAAACAAGAAGGGCCGCAACAUUGUUGUUAAGAAAGGUAGUUCUUUGAAAACCUUAAACUCUAAAGCUUAAACCUUAAACUCUAAGGGCGCAAAGCUUAAUGGGAGUACAAGUUUGAAGCUUAGUAGUCGAAUAUUGCAUGUAUUUUUGAAUGAUUUGUUAACGUUUUCGUAAGGAGAUAUUUACCAUGUCUCCAAGAAAUGGCCCCCAUUUAUAAUUAAAAUGGUGUUCUCAUUAUUGUUUACACGCUUAGAGUUUAAGGUUUAAAGUUUACAGUUUAAGGUUUGGAAAAGACAUCCUUUUUUGAAUUAGCUGUAUAUGUGUACACAAUGAU